AGGAGUGGAGAGGGAAAGGGUUACUGGGGUAAGGAGGAGUGGAGAGGGAAAGGGUUACUGGGAUGUGUUAUUAGUCCACUUAGUGCAAAGGAUUAAAUUUCAAUGGACAUUAAUGUAAUGAGAUACUUGCUGCUGCAGCUGACUUUAAAAUGGUUAAUAACAGGACUGCACCUUUAUAAUUAUUAUACUUAGCAAAAACUAUAAUUAUGCAGCAUAAAAGUCUAUUAUUAUUAGUUUUAUGAUAGUUCCACUAAUCUAUUUCAAAC